UACAUAGGUCCCAAGCGUUGUUCGGAUUCACUGGGCGUAAAGGGUGCGUAGGUGGUCAGGUAAGUCGGAUGUGAAAUCUCCGAGCUCAACUCGGAAAUGGCAUUGGAAACUACCUGGCUCGAGGGUUGGAGGGGGGACUGGAAUGCUUGGUGUAGCAGUGAAAUGCGUAGAUAUCAAGCGGAACACCAGUGGCGAAGGCGAGUCCCUGGACAACUCCUGACACUGAGGCACGAAAGCUAGGGGAGCAAACAGG
rnacentral:rRNA from 1 species